UGUGUGUGUGGGGGGGGUGUGUGUGUGUGCUGCAAUGCAAUUCUCUGACACACAUAGAAAACUCUCUCUCCUGUCUGUCUCUCCCCUGUCUGUUCUCACCUGUCUGUGUCUCACCUGUGUGUCUCUCACCUGUCUGUGUCCCACCUGUCUCUCAGGUCAUCGCUUCGUUAAAAUCUUUUCUCUCUUCGUUAAGCAUUUAAACUCAAGCACAUGACUGGACGCUUUUAUAUCCGUGCAAACGACCUGAAGUCCAUCCACACCAACCAGACCUGGCAGAACCCAUAGCAGACCUGCAGCAUUUAAACUCAAGCACAUGACUGGACGCUUUUAUAUCCGUGCAAACGACCUGAAGUCCAUACACACCAACCAGACCUGGCAGAACCCAUAGCAGACCUGCAGGCAUUACAGGGAGAAGCAUGGAGAUGGCAACACCAGUUCUCCGCAUCCUGAAUCCCCAAGCUCCAGGGGAUCGCACACAGGAAGAGUUGCAAAUCAUGGUCACAUCAUACUGUCAUAUCAAUAUCAGCACUCCUGCUAAAUGUGUUGUUUUAUUUUGGUCAUUAAAAACUGGCAUCAAAUUAUCAUUACAUUUGUUUUCACUAACCUCAGACGAGCACACUGGACUCAUCCUCGUGACCAGGGGAUGAUGGUGACCUGGUAGCUGCGAGCCAGGCUGUGGAAGAAG